GUAAAAAAUUUAGNNNACUUCCCCCUUGUAAAAAAUAAUUUUAAACCAUAAAAUAAAACAUUUNUACCACUUUAGUAUAGGAGAUAGAAAAACUUAUUUAGCGCAAUAGAAAAAGUACUGCAAANGAAAAAUGAAAUAGAAAUUAAAUAAAACAUAAAAACAACNAAAANNCAAAGAUUUAACCUUAUACNUUUUGCAUCAUGGUCUAGUANGUUUAACCUAACACAAAGAACUUAAGUUAGAUANCCCNAAACUAAACGAGUUACUCCGAAGCAGCAAAACAUGGGCCAACCCUUCUCUGUGGCAAAAGAGUGGGACGACUUCCGAGUAGUGGUGAUAAACCUACCGAGCUUAGUAAUAGCUGGUUACUUAAUAAACGAACUUAAAUUCAACUUAAAAUAUCUUUUAAUCAACUUAAGAAANNNNNNNNNNNNNNNNNUUAAUUAAUAGAGGUUCAGCUCUAUUAAUAAAGGAUACAACCUAAAACAAUGAAUAAUGAUUAUAUUAAUUAAAGAAAUUAAUUUUGUGGGCUUAAAAGCAGCAAUCAUAUAUAAAGCGUNNNNNNNNNNNNNNNNNNNNNNNNUUAUAACAAUAAAAAAAUCCUAAUUCAUUAAAACUAUUAAGUCUAUCUAUUUAAAUAGAUGUGUUUAUACUANAAUUAGUAAUAAGAAAAUAUUCUCUAAGUNCAAGUGUAAAUCAGAACGAAUAAAUCACUGAUGUUUAACGAACCUAAUAGAAGGAAAUAUAAUAUUUUUCAAGAAAAAUUUAUUAAACCAAUCGUUACCCCAACACAGGAGCACAUAAGAAAGAUUAAAAAUAUAGGAAGGAACUCGGCAAACAUNAACUUCGCCUGUUUACCAAAAACAUCGCCUCUUGCAGUUAAAGUAUAAGAGGUCCUGCCUGCCCAGUGACACUAAGUUCAACGGCCGCGGUAUUAUGANCGUGCAAANGUAGNGUAAUCACUUGUNUUUUAAAUAAAGNCCAGUAUGAAUGGCNAGACGAGAGUUCAACUGUCUCCCUAAAUUGAUCAAUGAAAUUGAUUUUUCCGUGCAGAAGCGGAAAUAAAAAUAUAAGACGAGAAGACCCUAUNGAGCUUUANAUAUAUAAUCAAUUGUAUAAAAAAAUAUCCGAAAGACAAAACAUUAAAUUAANCACUAUNANUAAAGUUUUAGGUUGGGGCGACCACGGAGAAAAACAANACCUCCGAGAUGAAGAGAAUAUCUUAAUUUAAGAAUUACAAUUCUAAAAAAUAAAAUAUUUAACAUAAUUGAUCCAAAUUUUUGAUCAACGAACUAAGUUACCCUAGGGAUAACAGCGCAAUCCUUUCCAAGAGUCCCUAUCGACGAAUGGGUUUACGACCUCGAUGUUGGAUCAGGACACCCCAAUGGUGUAGNCGCUAUUAAAGGUUCGUUUGUUCAACGAUUAAAGUCCUACGUGAUCUGAGUUCAGACCGGAGUAAUCCAGGUCAGUUUCUAUCUAUAAAAAAUUUUUUCUAGUACGAAAGGNCCGAAAAAAUAGAGCCAAUAUAUAAACAAGCUCUUCCCCCUACUAUUGAAAACAAUUAAAAUANAUUUAGGCAACUAUUAAAACCCAAAAUAAGGGUUA
rnacentral:rRNA from 1 species